rnacentral:rRNA from 1 species
UGAGGAAUAUUGGUCAAUGGGCGAGAGCCUGAACCAGCCAAGUCGCGUGAAGGAAGACUGCCUUAUGGGUUGUAAACUUCUUUUAUACAGGAAUAAAAAGGCUUACGUGUAGGCCAUUGCAAGUACUGUAUGAAUAAGCAUCGGCUAACUCCGUGCCAGCAGCCGCGGUAAUACGGAGGAUGCGAGCGUUAUCCGGAUUUAUUGGGUUUAAAGGGUGCGCAGGCGGGCUUUUAAGUCAGCGGUGAAAUCUGGACGCUUAACGUCCAAACUGCCGUUGAAACUGGGAGUCUUGAGUAUGGAUGAAGUAGGCGGAAUUCGUUGUGUAGCGGUGACAUGCAUAGAUAUAACGAGGAACUCCGAUUGCGUAGGCAGCUUACUAAGCCAUAACUGACGCUCAUGCACGAAAGCGUGGGGAUCAAACAGGAUUAGAUACCCUGGUAGUCCACGCCGUAAACGAUGAUUACUAGUUGUAUGCGAUAUGAUAGUAUGUGACUAAGCGAAAGCGAUAAGUAAUCCACCUGGGGAGUACGCCGGCAACGGUGAAACUCAAAUGAAUUGACGGGGUCAUAGCUG